rnacentral:rRNA from 1 species
UACGAAGGGGGCUAGCGUUGCUCGGAAUCACUGGGCGUAAAGGGUGCGUAGGCGGGUCUUUAAGUCAGGGGUGAAAUCCUGGAGCUCAACUCCAGAGCUGCCUUUGAUACUGAAGAUCUUGAGUUCGGGAGAGGUGAGUGGAACUGCGAGUGUAGAGGUGAAAUUCGUAGAUAUUCGCAAGAACACCAGUGGCGAAGGCGGCUCACUGGCCCGGUACUGACGCUGAGGUGCGAAAGCGUGGGGAGCAAACAGGG